rnacentral:lncRNA from 1 species
AAAAUAGGGAGCAAUUCUUCAUGAAGUUCAGAAGAUCACAUUGUAAGUAUGCUUAUUACAUUUGCCUUUUAUUUAGCAGUUUUGCAGAGUUGUUACAAUACUUAUCACUGUAAAAGCUGCAAAUUGACACAAACUGCUUACCAUAAUAGUAAUUCUUUGAUCAAUAAUGAAACUUAUUUGAAUGAAAUACGUGCUUUCAGAGCUCUGGAAAUUGUUAUUCAAAUUAGUUUAUUUUCUCUGAUACCUCUUUCUGCCUUCUCCCACCUUAACAGUAAUUACUUGAAAAGCAUGACACCUUAUUUAGUCUGUUGUAAAUGACAUUAGAAUUGAUCAAUUUAUUCAUAAAAUGGGUAUGUUUUGUUAUCUCUUCUGAGACAUUUGAAGAAGAGUUAAACACUGUAAAAAUUUUAUGAAUUUGCAGCUUUGUCAUUCAAAAAUUAACUUCUUGUCAGAAUGGCGUCGCAAGUAAUAUUGGUAAUAAAAACAUAGGAGUUCAACAACAAAUAGGAAAAAGAAAUUGAAGAACACUCAUGCAACUGAGAUGUUGUCAAAUUAACUGUCCCUGCUGUAAUUUACCUAAGGCCACUUAUAAAAUUGAUUGAAAUAAUUUCCAGGCUGCUAGUAAUUGUCUUGUUAACCCACGAGGGAAAUGGUGAAGUUUUGAGAGCCUGGAAAAUGACAAAUACAGAGCCUAUCUUCAGAAAUGGGAAAAAGAAAGGGUCAUGGAUUGCAGAGGAAUCAUCCUAACUUCAGUUCCUGGAAAAAGUUCUGGAACAAUAAUCAACUGAACUAUUUGUAAGCACUUGGAAGAUAACAGGGAGAGUUUGUUGGUGCUGUAGCUGAAACCCAAGUAACAAAAGUGGCAGUAAGCAGAAGGAGGACUAGAACAACAUAUCCCAGGACACCGUGGACUAUGUCACUGGGUACUCUGAAGACUAACAUUAGACAAUCGUAGAAUGUUUUGCAUAUAGCUCAUGUUCUUGUGGUUAAAGAUUCAGUGACCACAGUGUUUCUUCCACUCCAUUUUCUAUGGGCUAUGGUAAAUAUAUCACUGAAACACUGUUCUUUGGCUCUUUUCCUUGUCUUUGUGGACAAUUCCUCUGAAAUAGGAGAUUUUCAUAGUAUCUUAUUGCUAAAGAAACCACAUUUCAGGCAAGGAAAAUGGGGCAGUUGAAAACAUCCAAAAUGUCCUUGAUACCUGCUAUGUUAACACUCACAAAGAAAACAAAAUGUUCCCAAACUAAAGAGUACAGCACAUAGUUUGGUUAGUCACUUUGGAUGUGAUUUUGAAUGAAAAGUCAAGAAUCACAUACUUAGUGGUAUCUUCUUAUAAACUUCUGGGUAUUUAUUAACGAUUAGCUAUAAUUGAACUGUGUUGUUGAGGUAAACUUUUGUAGCAAGGAUACAUCAUUCCAAGAUCAUACACUGCCAUAAAAGAUGGUAUUUGAUAGGAGGGAGUAAAAAAGAUGGAGCCAAGGUCAUUUCUGUGGUGCCCAAUGGGCAAAAACUGAAACACAACUUGUUCCCUCUGAAUAUCAGGAAACACUUUAUUGUGAAGAAGUGUGUGAUUGCAAUAUGGAAGAAUGUAAACUUUUCCAGUAAUUUCUCUACUUUUGGUCUCGAUAUCUGAAAUACUAGCAUUUGUGUUAGUCUAUGCUUUGUUGUUUAGUCAGACUAAUACAUUUUUCAGUUAAUUUGCACUACAUUAUUCACCAAAUGUAAGUUCCAGUCUUGCAAGAACAAUAUUUUCCUUUUUUAUGUCCUUGCCAUAAUUUGAACGCUAUUUAGUGUGUUCCUUCUGCUGAUUCAGAGCCAUAGUCCAACUUCUGGCAUUUCUAUCUGUUAGCAUAUCUGUCAUUUUGCUGUGGAACACUUCUGGCUUGUUUGAGGUACCACAAUAAAUUUUUUAUCCAAUAACAUAUCAGAUGUACUCACUGACAAAUGCAAAAAUAAACAAACAUAAAAAUUGGAAACACAGUGUUUACAAAAGGGGGAGAGUCAUAUUAUGUGACCAGCUGAACAGAAGAUAAUGAGCUGAGUCACACAGAGACGCAUAACAUUCUUCACAGUGGGUGGAAAGAUUAUGAACUACGUGAGUCCCCGGCUGACAUAUUCAGGUACUAGGUGCCCCUUCAUCCCUUAGACACAUUAUGAAAUCUGGUAUGUGGCAAAGGUAUGUUACAGCAUCUGCAUAAGUAACGGUAUCUCUCAGUAAG